GACGAACGCUGGCGGCGUGCUUAACACAUGCAAGUCGAACGGAAAGGCCUUUUCGGAGGUACUCGAGUGGCGAACGGGUGAGUAACACGUGGGUGAUCUGCCCUGCACUCUGGGAUAAGCCUGGGAAACUGGGUCUAAUACCGGAUAGGACCGCACUUUAGUGUGUGUGGUGGAAAGUUUUUUCGGUGUAGGAUGAGCCCGCGGCCUAUCAGCUUGUUGGUGGGGUAAUGGCCUACCAAGGCGGCGACGGGUAGCCGGACUGAGAGGUUGGUCGGCCAUAUUGGGACUGAGAUACGGCCCAGACUCCUACGGGAGGCAGCAGUGGGGAAUAUUGCACAAUGGGCGCAAGCCUGAUGCAGCGACGCCGCGUGGGGGAUGACGGCCUUCGGGUUGUAAACUCCUUUCGCCAGGGACGAAGCGUUUUGUGACGGUACCUGGAGAAGAAGCACCGGCUAACUACGUG
rnacentral:rRNA from 1 species